CCAUUGUUUUUAUUUUUUAAAGUAUUUUAUUUUACUUAGCAAUCAGCAGUACAUAGUAGUUUGACAAAGCAGAAAGUGCAUGCAUUUCCCUUUCAGUGUUAACUGUGAACACCUGGCUGUCUCUCUUCAUGAAUAUUUAUGGAGAUAAGUGUUGGGCAUUGUAGUAAGGCGAAAAGAGAGAUGAAAAGAUGAAUGGAUGAAGAGACAGAAAGAAAACUGGCAUUGUUUAGUAAUAAAUAGGUUUAAUAACAAAAAAAUUAAUGUUACUCAAAUUUAAAAAGAAAAAGUAACUAGAGAACUAAAGAAAUUGCUGUUCUUCAAGAGAACUAUAUUGAACAAGAGGAAAUCCUUGUUUUGUAAUAUUUCUCUAUGAGUGAAAGAAAGAAGGUAAGACAGUUAUGAGAGACUCAGUAUGUUUGUGUCCACAUGAUUAGACAUUCAACCUUGCUUACAUUUCUUCUCCCUCUCUUUUGUCCUCUAUGGACUGUUUUUUAAAUUGUUGUAAAAUUAUUUUUACUUUGUCAAGAUUUACUUAUUUAAAUUUUUGUUCCGGACCCAUAUUUAUUCCUGUAACUGUUUUUCUCAAUUUAACAUUUAAAUUCUCAUUAUACCAUGUGUUCUACAUUGAUCAAUUAAAUGGUUCCAACCACCCUCUUACAAGGACAAAAAAGAAAAAAAUAUGUCUGGUCUUAACAACAAUGUAGUAAGCCAAGAAAGAAAAAUAAAAUGUAUAAAGAUUGGGGUAAAAAAACAGCCCUCAUUACCAUUCAUUCUGUAGUAAUUUUAUUCCCUAGUUCUUCAUUGUGAUCCUCCCUUUUUUCUUGGGUAGGGGGGUGGAUUUAAGUAUCAAGUAGUUAAAAUGUUCUCCUCUCAACCUGUAUCUUGAAUAAUGAGAAGAAAAAUGUUCUUCUCUUUGUCUUUGCACGUUUGAGAAUCCCUACUAAAUUUAUUAGCUCCAUAAUACAUUUUUGUUCUCAGAGUAAUUCAUAGCUUUUCAUCUCUCUUUUUAAAAAAAUCAUGUUGGGUGGUGUGUAUUUCAUUAAAUUCAUGUCCUUAUUGAAUUACUCUAUAGCACAAGCAUUUUUAGAAGAUUUCUUGUAUUCCUUGGAUCUUAGUUUUCCCAGAAUGUGUUCUUCCUUGGAUGUUUUUCAUACCAUGUUCUUUCUCUCCUGUAUUGGUGUUAUUUCUGUGCAUAAUGAUAAUGACAGGAUCCUUUUUAAAAAAUAUUAUUGAUCCUAACGUGGCUGGUUUUAGCCAGACCUCUAAUUGGCUGUGAUUAGUACAGAUGGGUUCUUGUAGACACUCCUCCAAAAAUAUUUGUGACAUCUGUCUUCUAAGCUGCAUCUAAUGCAUUUGAUGUUGCAUUCUCUGUUCCUUUUUAAUAGCAGAGGCCUUGGGGUAGGGGAUGGGAGAACCUGUCUAAGAAAACCUUUAGCUCUUUGUUGUAGGCCUGAAGACUGUUCUUUCCCCUCUCAACUUUGAAUAAAUACUCCUGGGGUCUCAUUCUCCCAACUCUACAUAUUGCCUCAAAAAUUGGCAAGCCCCUGGCAGCCCCUCCCAGUGUCUGCAGAAGAGUAGUGUAUAAGGGCUUCUGCUCUUGAUGGUGUAUUUCCUUGAUUUUUCCUCUCAAGCUGCCUACUCUACCUGCAUCUCCCCAUCUUUUAACAGUGCCUAUUAAAUGAUGGCCCAUCAAUAUUGUUACUGUAAUUCCUAAACUGAUUUUCAAAGCAUUCUUAUUUUUUUCUAUCAGAGAUAAAUAAAUCAUUUAGGAAGAGAUUCAUUUGAACAUUCUUGUUUAUAAGCCAAAGGGUUUCCAAAGAGGAAUAGUUUGAAGAUUGACAAAAAUGGGGAUAAUUUGUGAGAGUGAAUGCCUGGAGAGUAUCAGGGAACAUCUAGAACAUACAAUAAGAGGAUACAUGGAAGGGCAACUUUUCCUUUGAGACAGGAAGGGAAAGACAUAUGGAUGAAAUGAGUGAAAUUAUACAGAGUUGGGAUUUCCUCUUGAUGGCUUCUUCUUCAGGUAACCACAGAGUCUGAGCACUAUCAAAAAUUCUUCCUGGGCCAGGCAUGGACUCCUAGUGGAUUGCCUGAGCUCAGGAGUUCAAGACCAGCCUGGGUAACAUGGUGAAACCCCAUCUCUAC
rnacentral:lncRNA from 1 species